rnacentral:ncRNA from 1 species
CUUGUGGAGAGUACAAUAAACUGUGAAUAGUAUUUAAGUUUACUUAAUAUGAAAGCAUACUCGAUGAAUCAAGAA